rnacentral:ncRNA from 1 species
AAAGACCACUAGGGGAGCCAUAUACUGGCUGAGACGAGAUCGACUCGGACCCUUGGAACCUGAUCUAGUUCGUACUAGCGUAGGAAAGUGGAGACCGAGCAGG